CCCAAAGUAAAAAGAGGGAAGGUUUGUUCACCUCGCAGUCUGUAGAGGUUCCAGUCCAUAGUUGGCUGGCUCCACGGCAGGGUGGUGUGUGUGGCAGAAGGCAGCAAGCAGCAAAUGAGUGACAAGCAGUGACCCCCUUCCUGUCCCUUCCGUCUCACGCAGGUUGCCCACCCUUAGAACUGGUCACGCUCACCCCCAGGGCGUGGCACCCUAGUCCUAGCAUCGCGCCCCGACUCAAUCCCAGCCUCACACGCCCUAGAUCCAGCCGCCUCCGGCAAGCCCCACCGACGACCGCAUGAGGCUUUGGGGGACAUCGAGACACAGCCACACACAGGGUUCCAACGCACGCUAUCUGACCCUCCCGGGACCUCAGUGGCUCGCACUUGCCAGAGUAGCUUCAGAACGACCACUGCGCAUGUGAGGGCACGUCAGUGUGCAUUGGAGCCCCUCGGCCAGGAGGACGAAUACCAUGGGCACCGAGGAGGACACUGCCGGGGGCUUCAGGGGUCUCAGGGACUCUGAGCAACUUCAGUCUGGAGUUGCUUUUAUGGGAUCAGGACCAGGGACCAGGGCUGGACUGUCCAGUCACAGGAGAGGUAAGGGGAGAGGUGUGUAGUCGGUGCUGACAGCCUGCUCCACUGAUAUCCACCUUUUCUGAUGUGUGGUAUUCCGGGUAAAGCAAUUGUCCUUUUAGUUCAAGCAAUAAAUUUUCAGGUUUGUCUGUUUAAAGGGCAGGUGGUUGGGACUGCUAUUUUUUGCCUGUGGCAAACCCGCAAUGUAAACCAAUGUGGUCUGGGCGGGAAGAAAUAAUCAAAUGCAAAGCGGAGGCUCAGGUCCCUGAAGGCCAGAGGUACACGAUGAAGUGAGCCGUAGAAUGGCCAUGGGCAGGUGUCUGCAGGAGCAGCAGGCCCAGGGUCAGGGCUAGGUCCCCAGCCUGCAGACCGCUCUCUUAUGCCUAGGCUACCCUGAUUCAUUCCGAGGUGGAGUCCAGAGCUCCCAGUGCCCUUACCAGCAUCCUGUUAAGC
rnacentral:lncRNA from 1 species